UACGUAGGUGGCGAGCGUUGUCCGGAUUUAUUGGGCGUAAAGCGCGUGCAGGUGGUUGGUUAAGGCCGAUGUGAAAUCUCCCGGCUCACCUGGGAGGGUGCGUUGGCGACUGGCCGACUGGAGGCAGGUAGAGGCCGGUGGAAUUCCCGGUGUAGUGGUGAAAUGCGUAGAUAUCGGGAGGAACACCAGUGGCGAAAGCGGCCGGCUGGGCCUGUCCUGACGCUGAGACGCGAAAGCGUGGGGAGCGAACCGG
rnacentral:rRNA from 1 species